rnacentral:misc_RNA from 1 species
CGGCGAUGGACAUCCACCCACCCACACCAACUCGCGCGCACUUUUUAGCCACGUAGGCUCACGCUUACAAGCAGAAAUCUUUCUCUGGAAGUCAGCGAGGAAGCGGCAACGCUAAAUAGGAGAGGCAAAAGUCGUCACAACUGCGACCACGGAGGGCCUAGGAGCGAAGGGAAGCCUUCCGCUAGCACAAAAGCUUGCAGGAAGUCAGGCAGGCAAUUGUGCGCGUUCUCACUACCCCCUCCUUCGUUCGGCCUCCACCUUCUUGGCGAAUUCGUAAAACUCCACCUUUCAUCCACCAUCGUGCUCAAUGGACAGAUUCGGUGCAGGCGCCGCCCUCGUGAGUGUCGGCAGUUCCACCGGUGCCACGUGCCCGGCUGAGGCAAAGUCUCUGAAAGCUGCAGCUGAUGGUGACACCACUGGUAGCUCACCCGACUCACGGCCGGCAGCUGGGGAACCGCACCCGGGCGGAGAAGACGAAGCAAGCCUUGCCGACACCUGCGGCUCUGUGGGCAAGGAGGCGGACGACAACGCGGUGACGGGCGACAACGGGGGCGAUACCGAGGCUGAUGCCGCCGGGGCAGAGGAAGAGGAACUGUCCCCGGAAGAGGACGGGGGACAAGGCGACGAGGACGCCGAGGACGUGGUGGAAGACGUGGGGUAUGCGGAGGAAGAGCACGCGGACGAGGAAGAGUACGAGUAUGAGCCUGAGGACGCCGUCGCGGACCCGUCUGCCACCGCCUCCUCCUCAUCCAAGCCCCUCAUGAUCACCAUAGGCACUCGGCAGUACAAGACCUCUGCUUUUGUGAAGAAUCGGGGCCUUUCUUACGUGCCGGGAAAGCUCAAGUCCAACCCGAAGGCCACCUUUCAGCCCUGCACCACCAACGCUCCACACAGCAUCCUCGACUGCCAGAAGCUCCACCUUAGCAACCGUGGCGUCCUCGUACGCGAUCGGUUCAUUCGACUAAACAUGCUUGUCGACAACCCUGGCAAACAGGCACUCCUGCGCCACCCGGGGAGGUCGCUGAAAAUGCGCAUCUGCCGCCGCGAUGUGGAGCCGCAGAAGGGCGAGACCCACAACCCAGCUACCUGCUCCGACCUGCAUCUUCUGCCCGACAUUGUGUUUGUCGGCAUUCCCGGACUGAGGACGGCCUACUUCGAGGCUGAGCUGCGCCAUAACCUUGCCUUCGGAAAGCUGAAGGAGGAGGCGUGGGAGACGCAGUGCGGGACGUGGUGCCGUGGAACGCGUUCGCACGUGGUCACUACGUGCCGGUUCCUGCACUACAACCGAGGCGACAACUACACCGAGAAGCCGAUUCCGCCACACCGGCCGUUGGCUGCCAUUCCCGAUCUCACGCCGAGCCGCCCUGCACAGGCGACGGACUCGAACAAACGCGCUCGCGGCCGUGGACGCGGCGACCGUGGUGGCCGGGGCCGCGAAAACUGCCGUGGUCGCGGACGUGGUAGUCGUGGGGCGGCAGCGAUUCCGCUUCCAGCAGCCUUCGAGCGCGGUUACGUGGCCCCAUCUCAGGAUAGCGCCCCACAAGCGAGCUCGAUCACAACCAGGGCGAGUGGCGCUGAAAAUCACGUGAAGUCUCCCCACGAUGCGUUAGCUGAGGCAGACUGGAUGACCGACAACGGGGACGAGGGCAGCCCGAUCGACUACCGGAUGCUCAGCGUGCUGCUCGUGCUGCUAGGGGUUUUCGUUUUCUUACUCUCCGUGGCGCUGCACCGGAAGAGUAAUCCCGCAUCGACAGCACCGUGAUACAUGAAUGAUUUUGUGGGAUUGUCCAGCGUCUUCCUAAGGUGCGCGUGGGUGCACGUGCUUGUGCGUGUGAGAGCGUGUGUGGUGUGCAGCUGAUGGCACACAUCUGGACGUUUAAGAUUCUUUUUGUGUGUCUAAUCGUAAUGUUCAAGGGAGAUUUGAUGCUAGCGCAGGUGCCACGGUGCUUGUGUGCGCUGACAUGUGAACACGCACGCUCGCGCCCUCGUGCGCGCACAGGCGGUUCGGUACUUCUGUUCUCGUGUUUCCGCGUAAGUUCAGGACUUUGCUGGCUGCACGUUCUUCUUUCUCUGCGCGGUGCGAAGCGCGCCCUGCUGCUGACGAGGGGCGUUGCGGUGCGACGCAGAGUGCAGAAUCGUUUGGCUUCUUGGCGACCUUGAUUGUCUUUCUGCUGUCUGCGUGCCUGUCCGCGUAGGCGAUCCCUCUUGAAGCGCUUAAGUGCAAGUAGGAGAGGAGGAGGAGCGUUGCUUGCAGCGUGGCUGCCAAGGACAUUGUUGCUCAUAGCGCGGACAACUGCAGUGCUCGCGUGCGUGAGAAAAGAAAAAAACAGUGCCCACAUCGCUGCACGCCCACUCUCGCCCAACUACCCCUUCCAACAAGUGAAGCUUGCACAGCGAGUGGAAACCGCGACUCGCCAAGAUCAAACAUCCCUUGCAACGUGCCCGCCGACGUGUUCGCAGUCAUUACUCCCUCCUGGGAAGUGUGCCUUGCAAAUCGGGCAUAAAAGGACGGUAGAGAGGCGCAGACUCUGCAAAUCCUCACCGUCGUGCUCGCCUCGGCUUCUCCUGUUAUCCGGCUUUCCGAGCUGUGGGCGUCUCAUGGGAUGGCGGAGGUCAACAGAUAGACCCGCCUGCCUCUUUGGUAUCUCUCUUGCCGCCUCGCGCACUCUUCCCGUCUCCCUCACCUUUCUUCUUGUGCGAAUGCUGAACACACCCUGAAUGGGUGGCGCGUCCAUCACGACACUCACCUCUUGUAUCCAUCACUGCCUUUCGACCUGGCCUCAUCUUUUUGCAUUGCCGCUGCGGCUGCGGUGCCAACUGCUUUGCCACUUCCCUUUUCUCACAACCCACUCGCACACAG